AGUCACUGACAUUAGAUACCCGUGUAGUCCAGGGUGUAAACGCUGCCGACUUGGUGUUGGAGGCCCUUCGGGGGCAUUCAGUGCCGGAGAGAAGUUGUUAAGUCGGCCACUUGGGGAGUACGUCCGCAAGGAUGAAACUUAAAGGAAUUGGCGGGGGAGCACCGCAACGGGAGGAGCGUGCGGUUUAAUUGGAUUCAACACCGUAAAACUCACCAGGGAAGACUGUUACAUGAAGGCCGAGAUGAAGACUCUGCUAGAUUUUCAG
rnacentral:rRNA from 1 species